CAAUUUGUAUACUGCCCAAACAGAUCCACAGAUGAUGCAAUCUCUAUUGCAACCCACACUGCCCUUUCCCACCUGGACAAAAGGAACACCUAUGGGAGAAUGCUAUUCAUUGACUACAGCUCAGCGUUCAACACCGUAGUGCCCUCAAAGCUCAUCACUAAGCUAAGGACCCUGGGACUAAACACCUUCCUCUGCAACUGGAUCCUGGACUUCCUGUCGGGCCGCCACCAUGUGGUCAGGGUAGGUAGCAACACAUCCGCCACGCUGAUCCUCAACACUGGAGCUCCCAGGCGUACGUGUGCAGUCCUUCCUGUACUCCCUGUUCACCCACAACUGCAUGGCCAGGCAUGACUCCAAACCAUCAUUAAGUUUGCCGAUGACACAGUGGUAGGCCUGAUCACCGACGAGACAGCCUAUAGGUAGGAAGUUAGAGACAUGGUCGGGUUGUGCCAGAAUAACAACCUGUCCCUCAACGUAACCAAGACUAAGGAGAUGAUUGUGGACUACAGGAAAAGGAGCACCGAGCACGUUCCCAUUCUCAUUGACUGGGCUGUAGUGGAGCAGGUUGAGAGCUUCAAAUUCCUUGGUGUCCACAUCACCAACAAACUAGAAUGGUCCAAACACACCAAGACAGUCGUGAAGAGGGCACGACAACACCUUUUCCCCCUCAGGAAACUGAAAAGAUUUGGCAUGGGUCCUGAGAUCCUCAAAAAGUUCUACAGCUGCAACAUCGAAAGCAUCCUGACCGGUUGAAUCACUGCCUGGUAUGGCAACUGCUCGACCUCCGACCGCAAGGCACUAUAGAGGAUAGUGCAUACGGCCCAGUACAUCACUGGGGCUAAGCUUCCUACCAUCCAGGACCUAUAUACCAGGCGGUGUCAGAGGAAAGCCCUGAAAAUUGUCAAAGACCCCAGCCACCCCAGUUAUAGACUGUUCUCUCUACUACCGCAUAUCAAGCAGUACCAAGUGCCAAGUCUAGGACAAAAAGGCUUCUCAACAGUUUUUACCCCCAAGCCAUAAGACUCCAGAACAGGUAAUCAAAUGGCUUCCUGGACUAUUUGCAUUGUGUGCCCCCCCAACCCCUCUUACGCUGCUGCUACUCUCUGUUUAUCAUAUAUGCAUAGUCACGUUAACUAUACGUUCAUGUACAUACUUCCUAAAUGGCCCGACCAACCAGUGCUCCUGCACAUUGACUAACUGGGCUAUCUGCAUUGUGUCCCACCACCCGCCUACCCCUCCUUUUACACUACUGCUACUCUGUUCAUCAUAUAUGCAUAGUCACUUUAACCAUAUCUACAUGUACAUACUACCUCAAUCAGCAUGACUAACAGGUGUCUGUAUAUAUCCUUGCUACUCUUUUAUCAAAUGUCUUUUUACUGUUUUAUUUCUUUACUCACACACACUUUUCUCCACACUAUUGGUUAGAGCCUGUAAGUAAGCAUUUCACUGUAAGGUCUACUACACCUGUUGUAUUCAGC
ensembl:lncRNA